rnacentral:rRNA from 1 species
GUGUCAGCAGCCGCGGUAACACGUAGGGCGCAAGCGUUGUCCGGAAUUAUUGGGCGUAAAGAGCUCGUAGGCGGUCUGUUGCGUCCGCUGUGAAAACCCGGGGCUUAACCCUGGGCUGGCAGUGGAUACGGACAGACUAGAGGUAGGUAGGGGAGAAUGGAAUUCCCGGUGUAGCGGUGAAAUGCGCAGAUAUCGGGAGGAACACCGGUGGCGAAGGCGGUUCUCUGGGCCUUACCUGACGCUGAGGAGCGAAAGCGUGGGGAGCGAACAGGAUUAGAAACCCCAGUAGUCC